UACGGAGGUGGCAAGCGUUGCUCGGAAUCACUGGGCGUAAAGGGCGCGUAGGCGGGGAGGUAAGUCGGGUGUGAAAUCCCUCGGCCCAACCGAGGAACUGCGCCCGAGACUGCUUCUCUUGAGUCCCGGAGAGGAAGAUGGAAUUCCCGGUGUAGCGGUGAAAUGUGUAGAGAUCGGGAGGAACACCGGUGGCGAAGGCGGUCUUCUGGACGGUGACUGACGCUGAUGCGCGAAAGCCAGGGGAGCAAACGGG
rnacentral:rRNA from 1 species